GCCGCCGCUCCUGCGAGGCGCCUAGCGGCUCAGCCUUUGUUGGACUGUGACCUCCGCUGACCUCAGGAGCGGCGAGGAGGACGCGGGAGACCUCGGAAGCCGGGAAAUGGACCUAAUGACCUUUGAGGAUGUGGCAGUGAACUUCACCCUGGAGGAGUGGGCUUUGCUGGAUCAUUCCCAAAAGGAUCUUUACAGAGAAGUGAUGCUGGAAACCUUCAGGAACCUAACCUCUGUAGGAAUACAAUGGGAAUACCAGAAUAUUGAAGAUGAGUACAAAAUUUUUAGAAGAAAUCUAAGAAAUCAAGUGAUUGAGAAACUCUGUGAAUAUAAAGAAGGUAAUCCAUGUGAAGAAAUCUUCAGCCAGAUUUCAGAUCACAUUGUGAACAAGAAAACACAUUCAUUAAAACCAUGUGAAAGCCUCAUAUGUGGAGAAGUGGCCAUUGGUCAUUCAUCCCUUAAUAGGCAUAUCACAUCUGACUUUGGACAUAGACCAUAUGAGUAUCAGGAAAAACCCUCUGAACAUGAAGAACAUGAUGAAGUCUUUAGCUGGCCCAAUUUCAUUCAAAACUAUGAAAGAACUCACACCGGGGAGAAACCCUAUGAAUGUAAGCAAUGUGGGAAAACCUUCAGGAGUUCCAGUUAUGUUCAGAUACAUGAAAGAACUCACAACAGAGUGAAACCCUAUGAAUGUAAGCAAUGUGGGAAAGCCUUCAGGAGUUCCAGUUAUGUUCAGAUACACGAAAGAACUCACAAUGGAGUGAAACCCUAUGAAUGUAAACAAUGUGGGAAAGCUUUCAGUUGUUCCAGUUAUAUUCGAAUACAUGAAAGAACUCACACUGGAGAGAAACCCUAUGAAUGUAAGCAGUGUGGGAAAAUGUUCACUUAUCUCCAAAGUGUUCGAAGACACAUGAUAAUGCACAGUGGAGAUGGACCAUAUAAAUGUGAGGUAUGUGGGAAAGCAUUUCAUUAUCCCAGUUUAUUUCGUAUACAUGAAAGAACUCACACUGGAGAAAAACCAUAUGAAUGUAAACAAUGUGGUAAAGCCUUUAAGUGCCCCAGUUCUGUUCGAAAUCAUGAAACAACUCACUCUGGUGAGAAACCCUAUGAAUGUAAGCAGUGUGGGAAAGCCUUCAGUUGUCCCAGUUAUAUUCGAAUGCAUGUGAGAACACAUGCUGGAGAGAAACCUUAUGAAUGUAAGGAAUGUGGGAAAAUAUUCACUUGUCUCAAAAGUGUUCGAAGACACAUGAUAACACACAGUGGAGACAGACCUUAUAAAUGUAAGCAAUGUGGGAAAGCCUUCAGUAGUUCCAGUUAUGUUAGAAUACAUGAAAGAACUCACACUGGAGAGAAACCCUAUGAGUGUAAGCAGUGUGGGAAAGCCUUAAGUAGUUCUAAUUCCUUUCGAAGACAUGAAAGAACUCAUACUGGAGAGAAACCUUAUGAAUGUAAUGAAUGUGGGAAAGCCUUCAAGUGUCCCAGUUCCUUGUAUAAACAUGGAAAGAUUCACAGUGGAGAAUAAUUGUACAAGUAUAAGACAUGAUAACAAAUCUUCUGUUGUUUCAGUCAUGAACACAUGGAAGAACUUAAUACUGUACAGAAACCUUGUGGAUGUAAAGAAUGUUGGAAAAUAUGCUCUUGUUCUAGUUCCUUUCAUGAGAAAGAAAGAACUGAUCCUGGGGAGAAAUCCUAUCUAAGGAAUGCAGGAACGCUGAUAAUCACACAGCCUUUCUAGCACACACAAGAAUGCAUAGUGGAGAGAACUGCUAUGAAUGGAAAGAGUUUGGAAAAGCUUUUAAUCCUCACAGUCCAAUUUGAAGAGCACACAGGGAGAGAAACCUCCUGAAUAUAAACAGUGUGCAAAUGUCUUCAGUUGACUUACAUCCUAACUGCAUGUAAAAAUGCACACUGGGGCUGGGGAUAUAGCUCAGUGGUAGAGCGCUUGCCUAAGCCCUGGGUUUGAUCCCCAAACUGAAAAAACAAACAAACCAAGGAAUUUUCAAUUUAACCAACAUUUUCAAGUUUUUGCAGAAAGCCCCACUGUUUUGAAAUUCUAUAAAUCUAAGAAAUAUGAAAUGCUUGAUGCAAACUAACAUGGGUAUAUUGCUCACCAGAGUCCACAAUUUGAAGGAAAUGUUAUAAAAGCUGUACAUAUAUUAUCUUUGUCAGUGACUUUCUCUUAAAGUGGAUCUCUCUGCUAUGGAUUUCUAAAUCUUACUCUCACAAAGAAACACUGAACUGAGAUAAUUCUCCUGACCUAAUCACCCCUCCUACUCUGAGGUCAUGGGUUGUCUCCGUGGACACUGAAUCUGGAAUUCCUUGAGCACGCUUAUGACCCCAUUUCCAGGAGUAAGAUGCAAAAAGAGACCGCUGAGUUGCAAUUAAGAAGCGGUUGACGCUCCGGAAAGCCAGGAGCAAGCUCUACGCAUCUUCGGGCUGGGCCACGUCUGUGUCUGGGGAGGAAGAAAGGCCGGGAGUCAGUGUCCUUUGAGGAUGUGACUGUGAACUUCACCCUGGAGGAGUGGGCUUUGCUAGAUCCUUCUCAAAAGAAGCUCUGCAGAGAUGUGUUGCAGGAAACCUUCAGGAACCUGACCUCUCUAGGAAGAGGAUAAGAAGACCACAACAUUAAAAAUGGCUACAAAAACUCCAGGAAAAAAUCUAAGUGUCACAUGGUAGACCAUGAACAUAAAGAAGACAGUCAAUGUGAAGAAAUCUUUAUCUGGAUUCCAGAUCCUAUGAUGAACAAGAAAAUUCCUCCUGGAGUCAAACCUUGUGAAAACAGUGUAUGGAGAGGAGGCCUCACUGGUCAUUCAUCUCUAAAUGAGCCCAGAGUUCAGACUGGACACAAACAAUGUGAAUGUCAGGAAUAUUAGAUAAACCAUAUAAAUGUAAGAACUGUGGGAAAGCUUUCAGAAGAUGCCACUAUGUUCAAGUCCUUGCAAGAAUUCAUGCUACAGAAAAACCCUUUGUGUGUAAGCAGUGUGAGAUGGGCAUUCAAAAACAAGGUAAUACAUAAUAGAGGUGGAUAUCAUAUGUGUAAAGUAUGUGGUCAAGUCUUUGACUCUCAGUUCAUAUCUUAUAAAUGAAAGAAUUCACACUGGAGAGAAAUCCUAUGAUUGUAAGCAGUGUGGAAAGACUUUCACUUGUUACAGUUCUUUCAAGCACAUAGAAGAAGUCACACUGGAAAAAAACCCUGAGUGUAAACAAUGUGGGAAAGCCUUCACUGAUCACUGUUCCCUUCGAUACCAUGAAAGGAUUCACAGUGGGGAGAAACCCUGUGAAUGUGAGCAAUGUGGGAAAGCUUUCACUUGUUACAGUCCUUUCAAGCACAUAAAAGAAGUCACACUGGAGAAAACCCUAUGAGUGUAAGCGGUGUGGGAAUACCUUCACUUGUUCUGAUUUCCUUCAAAACUGUGAAAGGACUCACUGGAGAGAAUCCCUAAAUACAGAAUGUGGGAAUCUUCACUAUCACAACCUUACUUGGAUACAUAAUAAUGCAUAGUGGAGACUACUCCUAUCAGUGUAAAGCAUAUGGAAAUGCCUCUGCUCAUCUUGGUUUGAUUCACAGAUAUAAAAGAACACAGCAUAGUGCAAAACCUUGAAUAGAACAGAUGUGGAGAAGUCUUUAGCUGUCCUUCAUUUAAGAAUGCUCACUGGAUCAAAACCUUGUAAAUGUGAAAAAUCCAAAUGUGUACUUUCUGUUGAGACUGGUUAAGUUCUCCUAUCUUCAUUUCCACUGAGACUACCUUCUUGUUUUUGAUUUAUUAAAGAGUGAUUCCCCAUAUGGUGU